rnacentral:lncRNA from 1 species
CGACGACUAGGGUACAUGUAUUUUAUUGUGACGUGUUAUAGACAUGUAAGAUAUUUUUGAUGUAUGUUUUAAAUUGGUAUUAAUAAAGCAUACUGUUUAAUAUUCUGUAUUUUUUAUGAAAGUUAUUAUGUAGGAAACAGUAACUGUGUGAAAUAACUUGUAUUAUACUACUUGUAAUGCUUGUAGUCUGGAACAUAUGAUAAUUGAAGCAAAUAAGUUUUAAUUAACAUUUAAUAAAGUAAAGUUAGAACAAUUACAAUAUUAUGAUUCUUGUAGAAAUAUUGAAUUACUGUCAUUUGCAUAUAUUUGAUAAACCAGUUGAAGUUCAUGUAAUAAUUUACCAGUUCAUAGUAAUAAUCCACUGAAUAAUCCAACUGUAUGUCUUGUAUUUUUGUGAAGAUCCAAUUGUAGAAACUGUAGUAAAUCGUAGUAAAUUCCACGCACCUGUGCUUGAAUUUUAUGAAUGAAAUGUAUUGACAUGCGCAGUAGAAUCCAUGUGUCACUUGGGACGAUUGUUCAAUAAAAACACUAUUUUUACGUGUUGGCAACUGUUUUCACAUACUUCUUGUAAUUCCUUUUAGUAUUUGUAGUCAACGUCUUCAAUGUUUUGUAGAUGUUAAUGCUCACUAUCCUUGAUAUUUAACAUUUUGGUCCGCCGGUGACACACAUAACUUUUCGCAAUGUUGUUUACGUAUUGUGACUUCCGGUGGCGCUGUAUAUAUUGUUGUAUUUUUAGUUACCAUAGAAAUUUGUUUAGUACCAUGCAAACUUUGUUUAUUAUAUAAAGGUUACUAAAAUUGUAUAUUAUUGUGAUUUUUGUAAUUUAUUUAAGAAUUCAAAUAUUUAGUUGGACGGCAAGCGCGCGAUCCAACAACAAAUCCAACCAUCCAACCAUCCAACAAUCCAACAAUCCAACAUUGACGUAAUUUCGACGCUUGGUCGUCAGUUCUGCUUAAACUUUUGGUUCUUACAGUUGGUAUUUUUAUUUGCUCGUUAUUUAUUUUAGUCAAAAUGGUUAAUUUUUCUUAGAAACUUCAUUUUAUUUAAAGGUUAAAUUGUAAAGGAAAAUAGUAAAGUUAGCGUUUUCAAAGUUUAAAAGGAAUAUUUCAUUUUAGCGGACUCUUUAAAGCUUUAUUUCUAGUUUAUCUUUUAAAGUUAGGAUUAUUGAAAUUGUUCAUUGAAGUUCAUGUUUACUGUUAACGUUUGUCAUUUUGUAAUAAAUAGGAUUAAAUAGGAAAACAUUUGACAAGUAAGGGAUAAUUUCCUAAAGGUCUGGAAAUUAUAAUAAACAAAACAGUUUAUUUAAGGUUAUAAACUGUAGUUAAUUGUUAGUUCUUAUUCAGGAAACGUUCUGAAUAUAACUAAUAAUAAACAUUUUUUUAUGUAACUGGUGAGGUCAGUUACAACUAUACAAAAAUGUCAGAAAGAGGUAUUCUGAUUAAAUUCACUUGAAGUUAGGAUUUUCUCUUAGGGUAAUUUAUUUUCUUAGUAAGAUAGCAGAACUCAGCCUUUUUAUGUAUUUUUCUGACACACCAACAUAUUAUCUCUUGAGUUUAGAGAUAAGUUA